rnacentral:rRNA from 1 species
GAGCACGUAGGUGGGUUUGUAAGUCAGAUGUGAAAGCCUUCUGUUCAACGGAAGAAUUGCAUCUGAAACUGCGAGUCUUGAGUGUAGGAGGGGAGAAUGGAACUUCUGAUGGAGCGGUGAAAUGCGUAGAUAUCAGAAGGAACUCCGGCGGCGAAAGCGAUUCUCUGGCCUAUUACUGACACUCAGUGUGCGAAAGCUAGGGGAGCAAACGGGAUUAGAUACCCCGGUGGUCCUAGCCGUAAACGAUGGGCACUAAGUAGAGGGGUUUU